CUCGACAGCUAGCUCUCUCAUGAUCAUCCACUAAAGCUAAGCAGGACUGCGCCUGGUCAGUACCAGGAUGGGAGACCACAUGGGAAAGCUAGGUUGCUGCUAAAA
rnacentral:rRNA from 1 species